UACGUAGGUGACCAGCGUUGUCCGGAUUUACUGGGCGUAAAGAGCGCGCAGGCGGUCGUUCAAGUCGAGUGUGAAAGCCCCCGGCUCAACUGGGGAGGGUCAUUCGAUACUGAUCGACUCGAAGGCAGGAGAGGGAAGCGGAAUUCCCGGUGUAGUGGUGAAAUGCGUAGAUAUUGGGAGGAACACCAGUGGCGAAGGCGGCUCACUGGACCGGUUCUGACGCUGAGGCGCGAAAGCGUGGGGAGCAAACGGG
rnacentral:rRNA from 1 species